UACGUAGGGUGCGAGCGUUGUCCGGAAUUAUUGGGCGUAAAGGGCUCGUAGGCGGUCUGUCGCGUCGAAAGUGAAAACCCAGGGCUUAACCCUGGGCCUGCUUCCGAUACGGGCAGACUAGAGGUAUGCAGGGGAGAACGGAAUUCCUGGUGUAGCGGUGAAAUGACGCAGAUAUCAGGAGGAACACCGGUGGCGAAGGCGGUUCUCUGGGCAUUACCUGACGCUGAGGAGCGAAAGUGUGGGGAGCGAACAGG
rnacentral:rRNA from 1 species